rnacentral:rRNA from 1 species
GGGCGCCUCGGCCUGAAGCCUUGCGGUGUGUCGGGUAACACCGGCAUACUGCUUAGCGGUCGGACAUAACCGCCGGAGUGUACGGCCCGUCGUGCCGGCUUUAACCGGUCGGUACGGCGGACGGACACAAUCAAAUCGGCCGGGGUGCUCUUAACCGAGUGUCUCGGUCGGCCGGCAAACGUUUACUUUGAACAAAUUAGAGUGCUCAAAGCAGGCUGAUCUUAGCCCUGAAUAUCGCAGCAUGGAAUGAUGGAAUAGGACCUCGGUCUUAUUUUGCUGGUCUUUUUCUCAUAGACCCGAGGUAAUGGUCAAUAGAGACGGACGGGGGCAUCCGUACUGCGGCGACAGAGGUGAAAUUCUUGGACCGCCGCAAGACGAACGACAGCGAAGGCAUUUGCCAAGAAUGUUUUCCUUGAUCAAGAACGAAAGUUAGAGGUUCGAAGGCGAUCAGAUACCGCCCUAGUUCUAACCAUAAACGAUGCCGACCAGCGAUCCGCCGGUGUUACUCCCAUGACUCGGCGGGCGGCUUCCGGGAAACCAAAGUCUUUGGGUUCCGGGGGAAGUAUGGUUGCAAAGCUGAAACUUAAAGGAAUUGACGGAAGGGCACCACCAGGAGUGGAGCCUGCGGCUUAAUUUGACCCAACACGGGAAACCUCACCAGGCCCGGACACUGGAAUGAUUGACAGAUUGAGAGCUCUUUCUCGAUUCGGUGGGUGGUGGUGCAUGGCCGUUCUUAGUUGGUGGAGCGAUUUGUCUGGUUAAUUCCGAUAACGAACGAGACUCUAUCCUGCUAAAUAGGUGGCGGGUUUCUAUGCCUCGAGACUGCGGCGGGCGCAAGCCCGUCGCAGUCGGAAGGAAACUUGGGUGCGGUGGCCGACGGGACCAGGGCCGUGUGUUUGUCGGUCUCGAGUGCGUGGGUCAAACUGCGUACUUGGGCUCGGUGAGCGUACGGCUCCCCCGGCGAUACCACCGUACUCGCGCCCGUCACGUCUCUUCUUAGAGGGACAAGCGGCGUCCAGCCGCGUGACAGUGAGCAAUAACAGGUCUGUGAUGCCCUUAGAUGUCCUGGGCCGCACGCGCGCUACACUGAAGGAAUCAGCGUGUUUCAAUCUCCCUGUCCGAAAGGACCGGGUAACCGCUGAACCUCCUUCGUGGUUGGGAUUGGGGACUGCAAAGAUCCCCAUGAACCAGGAAUCCCUAGUAGGCGCGGGUCACUAGCCCGCGUCGAUUACGUCCCUGCCCUUUGUACACACCGCCCGUCGCUACUACCGAUUGAAUGAUUUAGUGAGGCCUUCGGACGGGCCCGUCGGGGGAGUGUUCCCGUCGUCUUCGCGGAUGGCGGGCGCGCGCCCUACCAACGGCGG